AGUUUGGUUGAGGGCCGAGGAGUGACGUGUCGGUUUGCGGACCCACGGGGAGUCGCAGUGGGAAGGCGCGGCCCACUGACUCCCGUCAUGUGACAAGAAGCGGAAACUACGCCGAAAUAGGCCCUUGCUCCAAGUCCCAGUAACUCGGAAUGCGGAGCCGCUCGUCUCCGUCUUUUUUAAGAGUGCACUGGUACCAUCAUAGUUCACUACUGCUUCAUACUCCUGGACUCAAGCAAUCCUCCCUCCUUGGUCUCCCAAAGUGCUGAGAUUACAGGUGUGAGCCACCUCCCCUGGCCAUAAAGACGGGAGUCUCGCUCUGUUGUCCAGGCUGGAGUACAGCGGCUCAAUCUCAGCUCACUGCAACCUCUGCCUCCCAGGUUCAAGCAAUUUUCCUGCCUCAGCCUCCCGAAUAGCCGGGAUUACAGGCACACACCACCACACCAG